AGAGUUUGAUCAUGGCUCAGAUUGAACGCUGGCGGCAGGCCUAACACAUGCAAGUCGAACGGUAACAGGAAACAGCUUGCUGUUUCGCUGACGAGUGGCGGACGGGUGAGUAAUGUCUGGGAAACUGCCUGAUGGAGGGGGAUAACUACUGGAAACGGUAGCUAAUACCGCAUAACGUCGCAAGACCAAAGAGGGGGACCUUCGGGCCUCUUGCCAUCAGAUGUGCCCAGAUGGGAUUAGCUAGUAGGUGGGGUAACGGCUCACCUAGGCGACGAUCCCUAGCUGGUCUGAGAGGAUGACCAGCCACACUGGAACUGAGACACGGUCCAGACUCCUACGGGAGGCAGCAGUGGGGAAUAUUGCACAAUGGGCGCAAGCCCGAUGCAGCCAUGCCGCGUGUAUGAAGAAGGCCUUCGGGUUGUAAAGUACUUUCAGCGGGGAGGAAGGGAGUAAAGUUAAUACCUUUGCUCAUUGACGUUACCCGCAGAAGAAGCACCGGCUAACUCCGUGCCAGCAGCCGCGGUAAUACGGAGGGUGCAAGCGUUAAUCGGAAUUACUGGGCGUAAAGCGCACGCAGGCGGUUUGUUAAGUCAGAUGUGAAAUCCCCGGGGCUCAACCUGGGAACUGCAUCUGAUACUGGCAAGCUUGAGUCUCGUAGAGGGGGUAGAAUUCCAGGUGUAGCGGCGAAAUGCGUAGAGAUCUGGAGGAAUACCGGUGGCGAAGGCGGCCCCCUGGACGAAGACUGACGCUCAGGUGCGAAAGCGUGGGGAGCAAACAGGAUUAGAUACCCUGGUAGUCCACGCCGUAAACGAUGUCGACUUGGAGGUUGUGCCCUUGAGGCGUGGCUUCCGGGGCUAACGCGUUAAGUCGACCGCCUGGGGAGUACGGCCGCAAGGUUAAAACUCAAAUGAAUUGACGGGGGCCCGCACAAGCGGUGGAGCAUGUGGUUUAAUUCGAUGCAACGCGAAGAACCUUACCUGGUCUUGACAUCCACGGAAGUUUUCAGAGAUGAGAAUGUGCCUUCGGGAACCGUGAGACAGGUGCUGCAUGGCUGUCGUCAGCUCGUGUUGUGAAAUGUUGGGUUAAGUCCCGCAACGAGCGCAACCCUUAUCCUUUGUUGCCAGCGGUCCGGCCGGGAACUCAAAGGAGACUGCCAGUGAUAAACUGGAGGAAGGUGGGGAUGACGUCAAGUCAUCAUGGCCCUUACGACCAGGGCUACACACGUGCUACAAUGGCGCAUACAAAGAGAAGCGACCUCGCGAGAGCAAGCGGACCUCAUAAAGUGCGUCGUAGUCCGGAUUGGAGUCUGCAACUCGACCCCAUGAAGUCGGAAUCGCUAGUAAUCGUGGAUCAGAAUGCCACGGUGAAUACGUUCCCGGGCCUUGUACACACCGCCCGUCACACCAUGGGAGUGGGUUGCAAAAGAAGUAGGUAGCUUAACCUUCGGGAGGGCGCUUACCACUUUGUGAUUCAUGACUGGGGUGAAGUCGUAACAAGGUAA
rnacentral:rRNA from 1 species